UACGGAGGGUGCAAGCGUUGUUCGGAAUCACUGGGCGUAAAGGGCGUGUAGGCGGUCUGUUAAGUCUGGUGUGAAAUCCCCUCGCUCAACGAGGGAAUGGCGCCGGAAACUGGCAGACUCGAGUACCGGAGAGGAAGGUGGAAUUCCCGGUGUAGCGGUGAAAUGCGUAGAGAUGUGGAGGAACACCGAUGGCGAAGGCAGCCUCCUGGGCCAGCACUGACGCUCAUGCACGAAAGCGUGGGGAGCAAACAGG
rnacentral:rRNA from 1 species